rnacentral:rRNA from 1 species
GAUGAACGCUAGCGGCAGGCUUAAUACAUGCAAGUCGUGGGGCAGCAUGAUGUAGCAAUACAUUGAUGGCGACCGGCAAACGGGUGCGGAACACGUACACAACCUUCCUUUUAGUGGGGAAUAGCCCAGAGAAAUUUGGAUUAAUACCCCAUAACAUAUAGAGAUGGCAUCAUCUUAAUAUUAAAGCUUCGGCGCUAGAAGAUGGGUGUGCGGCUGAUUAGGUAGUUGGCGGGGUAACGGCCCACCAAGCCUACGAUCAGUAGCUGAUGUGAGAGCAUGAUCAGCCACACGGGCACUGAGACACGGGCCCGACUCCUACGGGAGGCAGCAGUAAGGAAUAUUGGACAAUGGACGAAAGUCUGAUCCAGCCAUGCCGCGUGAAGGAUUAAGGUCCUCUGGAUUGUAAACUUCUUUUAUUUGGGACGAAAAAAGAUCAUUCUUGAUCACUUGACGGUACCGGAUGAAUAAGCACCGGCUAACUCCGUGCCAGCCGCCGCCGUAACAC